UACGUAGGGGGCUAGCGUUGUCCGGAAUCAUUGGGCGUAAAGCGCGCGUAGGCGGCCCGGUAAGUCCGCUGUGAAAGUCCAGGGCUCAACCCUGGAAAGCCGGUGGAUACUGCCGGGCUAGAGUCCGGGAGAGGCGAGUGGAACUGCGAGUGUAGAGGUGAAAUUCGUAGAUAUUCGCAAGAACACCAGUGGCGAAGGCGGACUCACUGGCCCGGUACUGACGCUGAGGCACGAAGGCCAGGGGAGCAAACGGG
rnacentral:rRNA from 1 species